rnacentral:rRNA from 1 species
CCUACGGGUGGCAGCAGUCGAGAAUCAUUCACAAUGGGGGAAACCCUGAUGGUGCGACGCCGCGUGGGGGAAUGAAGGUCUUCGGAUUGUAAACCCCUGUCAUGUGGGAGCAAAUUAAAAAGAUAGUACCACAAGAGGAAGAGACGGCUAACUCUGUGCCAGCAGCCGCGGUAAUGCAAAGGUCUCAAGCGUUGUUCGGAAGCACUGGGCGUAAAGCGUGCGUAGGCUGUUUUGUAAGUCGUGUGUGAAAGGCGCGGGCUCAACCCGCGGACGGCACAUGAUACUGGGAGACUAGUGUAAGGGAGAGGGAAGCGGAAUUCUCGGUGUAGCAGUGAAAUGCGUAGAUAUCGGGAGGAACACUCGUGGCGAAGGCGGGUUCCUGGGCAUUAACUGACGCUGAGGCACGAAGGCGAGGGGAGCGAAAGGGAUUAGAUACCCCUGUAGUC